GGGCGGGCACCACAGUGCCUGGUGCAGCCUCUCCUCUGUGCCAGGCAUUCUUCCGGGGGUGUGUGCAAGUGGACACAUAUUCCCGGCCCAAACAGGAUCCCGGGGCCUGGAUCGUUUGCCCAAAACAGUGGUUGCCACAGGAACGAGAAAGCUGGGGGGCCCGGUCUGGCCUUGGGCAGGUGUCUGGACCUUUCUGCCAAUCCCUCCUCAUUCAGGGAGGAAGCUGGAGGUCUGUGGAGGAUUUUGGGGUACAAUUUGAAAUGCAAUGAAGGCAGGGCUGCAGCUGGGAAGCUGCUCAGCCUGCAGGCAGCCCCCAGCCUGUCUGUCCCAGCCUCGCCAGGCCUGUCUCACGGCAGGGCUGCAGCCAAACCUUUAUUGGUUAAAUAGCACAUGUGGCCAAGUUUACUGGAGAAAAACAACAGCCAGGAAUGAAGACGGCUUUUCGGGCUGUUUUCCACUUUUCCUCCAAGCAGCUGAAGGUGCUCCUAGGGGCUGGAGCAUCGCGGACGCUGCGACCAGGCCCUGACCGGAGAUGAGGAGACCGAGGCUCAGAGAAGCAAGUCACCUACCCCGGCUCAGAGCGCACAGCUGGAGCGAGCGUCAUGAAGCAGUGUUCUCCACGGUCCCCACCCAGCCCCACGUGGGCCUGUGUGAGGAAUGUCGUCCUCAGGCCCCAGACCUCCCGGAUCCGACCUGCAGGGAUCCCGAGGCCUCGCCCGCACAAGGCGCCUGAGCCCCGCCUUCUUGGCCACGGCCAGGCCUCAGUUCCUCCCUCUGCCUGAUCAGGACUCUGCUCCAGGCGACAUUCCCUGGCCUCCGUCCGUCCAUCUGGCCCCUGCCCUCUGUUCCCACCUGAACCCCCGGUCCCCGUUCCUCCUCGGCAGGUGGAUGCCUGUCCCCACAGGUCACUCUCUCUGCACAAACUUCCUUCCUGCCUCUAACCAGCCCUUAAGGACAAGAGCCCCGGCCUCACGGGUCAGGAAUGUGACGACUUUCUCCAGCAGCUGCUUCCCAGCCUCAGCCGCAGUCUGG
rnacentral:lncRNA from 1 species